rnacentral:RNase_P_RNA from 1 species
ACAGCAGGCCGCCUUAUCGCUGCCGAAGUUAAUUCGGGAGAGGAAAGUCCGGACACCAUAGGGAAGCAUAGCGGCUAACGGCCGUCGGUCCCGAACUCGCUUCGGGAUUAGGACAAGUGCAACAGAAAGGAUGUACAGGUAAUGCUGUAGUGAAACCAGGUAAACUCUAUGCGGUGAAAUGCCACGUAAACCUGUGCUUGAGGGUACCCGCCCGAUGCAGGAGGGUAGGCAGAUGGAGCGUGCGGGUAACCGUACGUCUAGAUAAAUGAUAAGGGUUAGCUACUGGCUGAUACAGAACCCGGCUUAUAGGCCUGCAUUUUUU